rnacentral:rRNA from 1 species
CCUACGGGGGGCAGCAGUGGGGAAUAUUGGACAAUGGGGGGAACCCUGAUCCAGCGACGCCGCGUGAGUGAAGAAUUAUUUCGGUAUGUAAAGCUCUAUCAGCAGGGAAGUAAGAUAUUACGCUACCUGACUAAGAAGCCUCGGCUAACUACGUGCCAGCAGCCGCGGUAAUACGUAGGGGGCAAGCGUUAUCCGGAUUUACUGGGUGUAAAGGGAGCGUAGACGGGGAUGCAGGUCUGAUGUGAAAGGAGGGGGCCCAACCCCCAGACUGCUUUGGAAACUGUAUGGCUGGAGUGCAGGAGAGGUGAGUGGAAUUCGUGGUGUAGCGGUGAAAUGCGUAGAUAUUAGGAGGAACACCAGUGGCGAAGGCGGCUUACUGGACUGUAACUGACGUUGAGGCUCGAAAGCGUGGGGAGCAAACAGGAUUAGAUACCCGAGUAGUC